CCAGAAUAUGUCAAAAUACUCAGCGAUGUCCUUCACCAUGGUGGGAACUCAACGGUGGCACGUAUGGCUGCGGGUAUUCAACUGAAGAAUACAUUAGCCUCAAAUGAUGCCAAAGUUAAAGUACAGUACCAACAGCGCUGGUUGGCAUUCCCUCCAGAUGUCAGGGACUACGUUAAAAGUAAUGUUGUUGGGGCACUGGGCACAGAACAGAAUCGUCCUAGUUCUGCUGCUCAGUGCGUAGCCUACAUAGCACUCACAGAAAUCCCUGUUGGGCAAUGGCCAGACCUUAUUGACAAGUUAGUGGCCAAUGUGACUGCUCCUGGGGCAACGGAUAUGACCAAAGAAUCUACUUUAGAAGCAAUUGGAUAUAUAUGUCAGGAUAUUGAACCAGAGGCUAUAGCAGCUCAGAGCAACAACAUUCUUACUGCCAUUGUCCAUGGGAUGAAACGUGAUGAACCAAAUGAUCAUGUUAGACUGGCAGCAACAACAGCUCUUCUCAACUCCUUAGAAUUUACAAGACAGAAUUUUGAGAGAGAUGCUGAACGACACUUCAUAAUGCAGGUGGUCUGUGAAGCAACACAAUCAACGAAUACCCAGAUUAAAGUGGCAGCGCUGCAGUGUCUUGUGAAAAUAAUGUCUCUAUAUUAUCAGUAUAUGGAACACUACAUGGGUCCUGCAUUAUUUGCAAUUACACUAGAAGCCAUGAAGAGUGACAUUGAUGAGGUGGCACUUCAGGGAAUUGAGUUUUGGUCCAAUGUAUGUGAUGAAGAAGUUGAUCUUGCUAUAGAAGCUUCUGAAGCUGCUGAACUUGGCCGUCCACCAGAGAGGACAUCCAGAUUUUAUGCUAAGGGUGCUUUACAGUACCUUGUACCUGUGUUGAUGAUGACAUUAAGCAAGCAGGAAGAAGCAGAUGAUGAUGAUGAGUGGAAUCCAUGCAAAGCUGCUGGAGUCUGCGUUAUGCUCUUGGCUACUUGUACAGAAGAUGAUAUUGUGCCACAUGUUCUUCCAUUUGUCAAAGAAAAUAUAAAGAACUCAAAUUGGAGACUGCGUGAUGCUGCCAUUAUGGCAUUUGAGACCUUUGCUCAGUGUUUGGGGCUGACAUGCUGCAGUUGGUUGAAACAGAUCCCAUUACUAGCCUCCUCACACAAGGCCGCCGUUCCAAGACUUCAAAGACAAAGACAUUGGCCAUGUGGGCAACAAAAGAAAUUCGCCGCCUGAAAAGUAACAGUAGUUGCGAAAUAUCAUCACUGCUGGAUGAGGCGCCUCUGAUAGUAGUCCAGUAGUCCGUAAGACAACCCCUAACUUGGCUUUUCAGAUGAGUGCGGAGUUUAGUCUGUGGUGAGUCAGAUGCGGUGUGUCUGCAUGGAGUGAGGAAGAGCGUUGCCCGCCUGUGGUGAGUGGUAACCGUUCAGCGCAUGGGUUGUGUGGUGAGUGGACAGACAAACGUGGACAAUCGCAAGUGCGGCAGUUAUGGCCAAAUGUGCGAUGACAACCGGAUGGCAUCGGAAGAGUGUGGAAAUACAUGAAGAAUUUUCAUAUAUGACGGGAAUAUCUUUUCUAGGCGACUUAUCAGAGAUAAUUAGUUACAGUGAAUCAUUCCACCUCCCAGGAAAAGAUCUGCCUCAAUUGAUCUAUAAAGAACUUAGCAUUUCCAAAGUAAGUCCUGUUUUUUAACUAUGGUUUUAGAAAGCCAGUCCUUUCAAGUGCCUUUAUGUGGGAAUGAAUGGUGCUGUAGCCGUGAAUCAUGUACCCUUCUGGUAACAAUCCAUCUAUGAAGAAAUGGCAGAAUUAUAAGGUGUUCUCUGGUUUCUAGUCAAGGGUACAAAAAUUUUUUUUUUACUAACCCUUCCACUGUCAGUAAGAUAAAUCUAUUUUAUAGGCAGGGUAGCUCUUGCUGCAUUCCAAUUUAGAUGUUUACAAGACACUUCUUUUUCUCGUGCUUUCCAAGAAUAAAGUACGGUAUAUAGUAAAUGUAUGGAGGAACCUGGUAAGUUCCUAACUUGUAAAAUAACUUUGUAAAAUAUUAAUACUUGUAAACAUCAGCUUGAGAUGUGCAGUUGUCUCCCAUUAAUGUACCUCUUUAGUUAAUCUCUUCAAUUCUUUGGUGACAGCACUUGUGUGUUUAGGGCACUAGAAUGGGAUACGGCUGUAGUGGUUCUGUUGAUGGCAUUUUGAGGCAGUUGGUAUUGAGACGUCAAAUUCAUUAGGCCAUAAUUGAUGGUAACCCCAAAUAGCUCUCAGAGUUAGCAAUAAUGAACUUUUAAAUGGGUUACCUGUUAACUCCAGGUGGUAAAUUUCAAAAUGAAAAGGUAAAUAUUCCCCGUUAGCUUCUCAUGAAUGAUGUAUAAAACUGUGUGCUGCUGUGCCUGACCAUAGUGAUUUGAACUACAAUGUUUGUAACAGUAUCAGCCAUUUUUAGUUUGUGAUAUGAGGCUGUUCUCAAAAUUUAAGUUGGCCUCACCAGCCUGCAGUUAUUCUUGUUUGCUGAUUGUUACAAUUUGUAUGUCAAAGAGCCCUAAAUGUGCAGUGUGAUGAGGCAAGAAGUCUGAAAGUUUUUGGAAGAUCCUUACUGUAACCCUUGUCAGCAGUGUUUUUGACUUAGACAUUUGUAUGGAUGAAUAAUAAUUCAUUUGGGUUAAGCUUUUCUUCCAUUAACUUAAGGGGUUUUAGGUUUAGUGCCAAAUUCCCCAUUAAAUGGUUAAAGUGGUACAAUGGUAAAAGGCAAUGUGAAGCCAGCACUGGUUUUAAAUCUAGAUCUCUCUUGAAGUCAGUGUUUGACAGCAUAACAUUUGUUUUCAGCAUAUUGUUGAUUGCAUAUUAAAUAUUAGCUGUGUAUUAAAUUAAAGCAGAGUUGAAUGGAAUGUUGUAGUAUGAAACACUGUUUAAGAAGGAACUGAUUUAAAUAAAUGCCAUACAUGAUGACCACAGAAGGAAUCAAUUUACUGCAGUCCUGUGACUGGUGAAUGUUUGACUGUGAUAAGAGGCCCUGUGUGAUAUGGCACUCUGUAAGCAUGUGGUGCAAGCUAAGUGUAGUCCAGUAUUGUUUGUAUUCAAAAGCAGUAUGGGGUAUCCUAUUGCUUUAACAAAAAAUGGAAAAAUUCUGAAUGAAGACAUGAGUAAUAGGGUUCCCAGUGUGUGAUUUGGACUGAAUAUGAAGCGGAAGGCGUGCAUCCAGUGCUUUUCUCUUCGCCAAGUUAGCACAUUUUCCUCAUGUCAGAAACCACAGGAGUCUUGUGGUGAAGCUAUACCAUUUUCUCCUGGAUCUGUCAUGCCAUCCCCUCCCCUCCAGUAACAUGACUCAGUGACUGAGGGUGUGAGUGCAAAUUUAGUCGUUCUUGAAGGACGUGUGACUGUGAUACUGUGUUCCUUUAGUGCAAAUGUUACUGUGCGAGUGUGUACAUUCCACCAAGCGGUGUAGUAUUUUGUAGUGUACAGAAAAACAAAAACACAAGCUUUACAAAUGAACCUGCUGCAGAAGUUCACAAGUUUAGCUGAUGUAGUAAUGUAUCUUUGUUAUUGCCUCAAAGAUAGGUGAGCUUUGUGUCUGAAAUUUACUCACUAAAGUUAUUCUUGACAUAUACGUGAUCUACUUUCAGUAAGUGUGGACAAACCUAGUGUAUAUUUUUUCACAAUCCCUGUUGAUAUAUGUUCAUUUAUAAUUUGAAUAAGUCAUUCGGUACUGUAAGGCUAAUAAUUUUUCUUUAAACCCUGUACCAUAUUUACGAAUGCAAAAAUUUGAAUAAAUAAGUUUGAGAGAGA